AAUUAUAGUAACACAAUUUUUCUAAACAAACGAGUGCCUAACAUAGCCAUACACACUCAUAAAAAAUAUGAAAUUCAUAUAAUUUAACUAAAUAAAAGAAUAAUAAUAACCAAAGUUUUAAAGAAAAUAAACAUGAAACUAAUACUUAAAUUGUGGCUACAUCGAGUUAGCAAUCUUCAUCAUUUUCUUCCUCGAUUAUUCUUUCAUUAUUCUCAUUUAACUCUC
rnacentral:lncRNA from 1 species